UACGGAGGGUGCAAGCGUUAUCCGGAUUCACUGGGUUUAAAGGGUGCGUAGGUGGGCAGGUAAGUCAGCGGUGAAAUCCCCGAGCUUAACUUGGGAACUGCCGUUGAUACUAUAUAUCUUGAAUGUCGUGGAGGUUAGCGGAAUAUGUCAUGUAGCGGUGAAAUGCUUAGAUAUGACAUAGAACACCCAUUGCGAAGGCAGCUAACUACGCGAAUAUUGACGCUGAGGCACGAAAGCGUGGGGAUCAAACAGG
rnacentral:rRNA from 1 species